rnacentral:rRNA from 1 species
GACGAACGCUGGCGGCGUGCUUAACACAUGCAAGUCGAACGGAAAGGCCCUGCUUUUGUGGGGUGCUCGAGUGGCGAACGGGUGAGUAACACGUGAGUAACCUGCCCUUGACUUUGGGAUAACUUCAGGAAACUGGGGCUAAUACCGGAUAGGAGCUCCUGCUGCAUGGUGGGGGUUGGAAAGUUUCGGCGGUUGGGGAUGGACUCGCGGCUUAUCAGCUUGUUGGUGGGGUAGUGGCUUACCAAGGCUUUGACGGGUAGCCGGCCUGAGAGGGUGACCGGCCACAUUGGGACUGAGAUACGGACCAGACUCCUACGGGAGGCAGCAGUGGGGAAUAUUGCACAAUGGGCGGGAGCCUGAUGCAGCAACGCCGCGUGCGGGAUGACGGCCUUCGGGUUGUAAACCGCUUUCGCCUGUGACGACGCGUGAGUGACGGUAAUGGGUAAAGAAGCACCGGCUAACUACGUG